UACGGAGGGGGCUAGCAUUGUUCGGAAUUACUGGGCGUAAAGCGCGCGUAGGCGGCUUGGAAAGUUGGAGGUGAAAUCCCAGAGCUUAACUCUGGAACUGCCCCCAAAACUCCCAAGCUAGAAUAUCAGAGAGGUGAGUAGAAUUCCUAGUGUAGAGGUGAAAUUCGUAGAUAUUAGGAAGAAUACCAGUGGCGAAGGCGGCUCACUGGCUGAUUAUUGACGCUGAGGUGCGAAAGCGUGGGGAGCGAACAGG
rnacentral:rRNA from 1 species